GUUCCUGUAAUUUCUGGUGGCUGACAUACACCUGUGUGUUCAUCCUGGUCUUCCACCCUUUGUGUCCCUUGGAAUUCUCAAAGUCCCCUGGAAAACCCUAUUUGGAGAAAACGAAACCUUGUUUCAAAAGCCUUCUUUGAACGAAGACACCAAAAACAUGGUGCCACAACAAUAGUGGUUGAACACUAUGGAGAAGUUUUCGAGGAAUCAGAAACUACAAUGAAAACGACUAAAGAGGCUGGGUGCAUGCUGUGAGGCAGGGGUCACUUGCUGGUGGUGAUGAAGUCAGAGACCCGGCGAGAAGG